GCUUGUCUCAAAGAUUAAGCCAUGCAUGUCUCAGCAUAAGCUUCAACACGGUGAAACUGCAAAUGGCUCAUUAAAGCAGUUACAAUUUAUUUGAUGGUCACUGUUACAUGGAUAACUGUGGUAAUUCUAGAGCUAAUACAUGCAUCAAAACCUGACUCUUGGGAAGGGUUGUGUUUAUUAGAUGGAAACCAAUGCGGGGCAACCCGGAAUAUGGUGAUUCAUAAUAACUUUCGGAUCGUUUACGAUGCAUCAUUCAAGUUUCUGCCCUAUCAGCUUUGGAUGGUAGGAUAGAGGCCUACCAUGGUUUUUACGGGUAACGGAGAAUUGGGGUUCGAUUCCGGAGAGGGAGCCUGAGAAACGGCUACCACAUCCAAGGAAGGCAGCAGG
rnacentral:rRNA from 1 species